rnacentral:misc_RNA from 1 species
GAUGAAGAACGCAGCGAAAUGCGAUAAGUAAUGUGAAUUGCAGAAUUCAGUGAAUCAUCGAAUCUUUGAACGCACAUUGCGCCCGCUAGUAUUCUGGCGGGCAUGCCUGUCCGAGCGUCAUUUCAACCCUCAAGCCCCCGGGCUUGGUGUUGGGGAUCGGCGAGCCUCCGCGCCCGCCGUCCCCUAAAUCUAGUGGCGGUCUCGCUGUAGCUACCUCUGCGUAGUAGCACACCUCGCACUGGGAAACAGCGCGGCCACGCCGUUAAACCCCCAACUUCUGAACGUUUGACCUCGGAUCAGGUAGGAAUACCCGCUGAACUUAAGCAUAUCAAUAAGCGGAGGA